UGGGUAUUCUGUGCCAUUUCGUCUGACAUUCCUAGAACACCCAACUGCAAAAAGGGGUCAAGGCUGAGGACCAAGGGGAAAAGGAUUUAAAGACCCAACAUAAAAAAAGAGACUGCCUUUCUGUGGUUUGAUGUGAAAUAAUCUUGAAGAUGAGGUCCAACAUUUUCUUUUGAAGUAGGUUGACAACGCAACAAGUUGCUGUUAUGGAAGGAGACAAGAAAAGCAGGCAUAACAGAAGAGGCAGGACGUGGAGGCAAAGUGGGCAGUUGCCGUUUUGGAUCAGUUUGGCCCUUGGGGAUGUUCCAUGCAACGUGGGAGAACGUGUGAAGACUGGUGUGGGCUUGGCUGGUGGCUUGUCAAAACUGCCAGCGUUGGUGGAGUUGGCGAGCAAGAUAGAUGUGAAAAGAAACAAGCACAGAUAAGUAGGGAGAGACAGAGCUGUGAAGGCUUUCGAAAGCGAGGCUGGAAGGUGGAAUUUAGAAUUCCCAUCACAAAUCUAGAUGGUUUGCAAAUGCAGGGCCGGCUACUCAUGGCUGGUUUCCAUGGGAUCACUUGAGGGGAAACUCUUUUGCAAAUCAAGUAGAGCCUGUCAGAAUCAGGCCCUAAGAAUACGGGGCCAAAUUCAGAGCUCAGAUAAGCAAGUGUAGCUCCAUUGACUUUAGUGGAGUUGGAGCGCCAUACACCAGUCUGAACUUGGCCCAAUGGAACCCAAAGCAUUCUCUCAUUGGCGCCUCUAAGUAAUUUCCCAUCGGAGAUCUAUUGUCAGGAUAAAAAAUAAUCCCCCAGCUUCUCAUUGCAAAGAAAAAUUAUUGCUUCAGGUAUUAUGCAAUAGAGGACACAGGCCUGGUGAAGACAAGGAAAUGGCUUGUUGAGUAGGAUUGAAGAAGUGUACAUAGAGCAGCGUACCUUUAUUAAUGUGUCUGUCUCUGUCUGUGGUUGCAGAAGCUUUGGUGUUUUGAUUGCUGCUUGAUUUAGACAGCUUUCUGGGUGAUGUUACUCUUCUAUUUAUGUGGCCUAAGAAAGGGAAAAGAGAGAGAGAGAGGAGCUUUGGGGAGCUGUGACCCUCUUUAUUCAAACCUGAACAGUGGCAGGGUCUUUACUUCCAAGAACUCACUUUGCCUUUCUUCUCGCCAUCCAGUGAGGGUGCCGAAAUAAUAGGUCCUUGGAGCUAACAAGGUUGAUCAUCAAGGAAAGCUCUGUGCCUGCCGAAUCCUAGGGCGAUGGAAAAAUCUUAGUGCUCCAUUGAACUACAUUGUGAUAACAGACAUUCUAAAAGGCAAAUUGAAAGGGUGAUUUUGAAAUUGAUCUGUGCACAGACAUUUUGUGCCGUUCCCUGUUCCCAAAACAACACAGCAUGGACCACUGCAUGGACUGAGCUUCCUAAAUGCCAAAUAACACCAAAUGUAUCACAUGUGAUUGCAGCAGAUGUCUUCAGCAGUGGGUGGCGGGAUCAGUGUUAAUGUUUAAUGCUGGGGGUAGGGAUACAAUGGCACUAAAUUAUGGAGAUUACAUUAGUAGGUUAAGAGGAUCAUUACUACAGAAAGGUCCUGCUGGGACCUUAGCACUCUCCUUACAUGGAGGUGUUUAAUAGAAUCACCUGCCGUGAAUGACAGAGCUGCAGAUAUAAAUAACCACAAACAGGAGGACAGCAAAUGCUUCCCAGGAAGCAGAGCAGCACAGGAUUUUUGGAUGCAUUUAGAAUGUUGUUAAUAUAUCCACUUUUCUUUUUCAGACACAUAUAGCCUUGUGGCUAGGACAAGAAAGUAGAAGUCAGAAUUCCUGGGAUAUACUCCUGCUACUGAGUGUCUGGGUACCCUUGGACAAGUCACUCUACCCUUCCAAACCUCAGUUUACCCAUCUAGAAAAACAGGUGUAACAAUAUUUGUGUGGGUAUUUAUUGUGUUAUCUCUCUCGGGACACCGUCAAUACCAGGUUGAGUAAUCAAGGCCGCCGAACAGGGAAAUAACCCACUUCCUUCCCUGAUGAACCAAGAGACGCACCCCACCCAUGUACUUAUUCGCUACACCGAUACUGACUUAGAUUCUUAAUACAUUCCAUGGGUGGCAUACCCAAACCCACUUAUCCACUGAUGCUUUAAAAAACUCCGCACCCCAAUCUGGUUAUAUGAUAUGUAUGUAUCUCGUGAUCUUUGUAACCGAUACCUGUAAUCCCUCAUAACUCAAGCCUGACCCCAAAUGUACAGUACCUUUCCUCUUAACAUGUGUAUAUUUAAUUUUAAACAUUAACCUUAAUAAAUUUUUUAAAUCUG